GACGAACGCUGGCGGCGUGCUUAACGCAUGCAAGUCGAACGGAAAGGCCCUGCUUGCAGGGUGCUCGAGUGGCGAACGGGUGAGUAACACGUGGGUGAUCUGCCCCUUAUUUUGGGAUAAGCCUGGGAAACUGGGUCUAAUACUGGAUAGGACCAUGCUGUAGGUGGUGUGGUGGAAAGAUUAGUUUCGGUAAGGGAUGAGCUCGCGGCCUAUCAGCUUGUUGGUGGGGUAAUGGCCUACCAAGGCGUCGACGGGUAGCCGGCCUGAGAGGGUGGACGGCCACAUUGGGACUGAGAUACGGCCCAGACUCCUACGGGAGGCAGCAGUGGGGAAUAUUGCACAAUGGGCGCAAGCCUGAUGCAGCGACGCCGCGUGGGGGAUGACGGCCUUCGGGUUGUAAACUCCUUUCAGCCAUGACGAAGCCCUUGUGGUGACGGUAGUGGUAGAAGAGGCACCGGCUAACUACGUG
rnacentral:rRNA from 1 species